AGUCUUGUGGUUGAAAAACAACGUUAAAUUGCAAAUUUAAAGGUAUAAGUUAUAUUAUUGAGGCAU
rnacentral:tRNA from 1 species